rnacentral:misc_RNA from 1 species
UGCAGGUGAGUUAAGAAGGUGCGCUAUCUGUGACCCACAUAAGAAAAAACCCAUGUACAAUCUAUACCUUUACACCAAAAGUCAGUAAAACGGUUUGUAUGAUAAAUAAGAUGCCGUUUUUCGUGUCUACUUCUUGAUCGCAGCCUUGUAUCACCAAGAUAUGGAUAUUGACAACUUUUAGUUCAGUCCACAACAAUGUCACUGGAUUCAAACAUGGCGGACUUCAGAAAUUGUCAUUGGAUAAACGAAGAAUGGAAGGAAGCGAUUCACUGGAAUUACCUGGCUGUUGUAUUUGUUUAGUUUCAGUGAUUUUGUGAAACAUGGAAAACAAUAAACAACGGCGAUCCGACAAAAAGACCAAUGUUGGUGCACUUGGCGGAGAAAUGGAUACUGUUGGUCGAGACAGCCCAAACAAUCAGGCUCUUUUUUUGCAAAAAAUAAGGGAAAGUAAUGAAGCUGUCAACAAUGGGGACUACCACCGUGCAAUUCAGCUAUAUUCAGAAGCAAUCCAUCUCGACUCUAACAAUCACAUCCUAUACACCAAUCGGUCUGCUGCAUUUCUCAAAGUUAACCAGUAUCAACGAAGUCUUGAAGAUGCACAAAAGGCCAGAAGUCUGAACUCAAAGUGGUCUAAGGCAUACCUACGUGAAGGAGUGGCAUUGAAGUACCUGGGGCAGUAUGGGGAGGCUCUGGCAUCAUUUGCUGCAGGACUGGCACAAGAACCAAGCAAUAUUGUUCUACUUGCUGAAUUGUCACAGGCAGCAAUAACAUGUCCCCUUAAAGAUAAGCUGGCUCCCACCUUCCUGCAGCUGGAGAAGUUAAGACUCCACAGAAGUCCUUUCGUCAUCAUUUCUGUGAUCGGGCAAGAACUCUUGGCAGCCGGAAACUAUGAGUCUUCUUUAUUGAUGCUAGAAUCAGCCUUGCACAUUGGAACAUGCAGUCUCAAAUUGAAAGGUUCAGUGUUCUCAGCACUGAGCAGUGCAUACUGGGCAAUGAACAACAUGGACAAGGCCAUCUACCAUAUGCAACAAGACCUGGCUGUAUCAAAGUCUUUAGGUGACCAAGAUGGUGAGUGCCGUGCAUAUGGCAACCUUGGGUCUGCAUAUUUCUCCAAAGGUCAUUACAAAGAAGCAUUAUCAAACCAUAGGUACCAGCUUGUCAUAGCCAUGAAGCUCAAGGACAGGGAUACUGCAGCCACCUCUCUCAGUAGCCUUGGUCAUGUGUACACAGCAAUAGGGGACUACCCAAAUGCACUUAACAGUCAUAAACAGUGUGUUCUUCUACUGAAACAGAGUGGUGACAAGCUAGCAGAAGCAAGGGAAAUUGGUAAUGUUGGUGCAGUUUAUUUAGCUAUGAGCAACUUUGACAGUGCAGUAGAGUGCCAUCAGGAACACUUGAAAAUGGCCAAGGAUUUGAACAGUCAUGUGGAGGAGGCACGUGCAUACAGCAACCUUGGAAGUGCUUAUCAUUACAACAGAGACUUCCAAAAAGCAAUAUUGUAUCAUAACAGUGUUUUAAACAUUGCUGAAGAGCAUUCUGAUAAGGCACUAGAGGCUCGUGCUUUUGCUGGUUUGGGUCACGCAGCACGGUGUUUAGGUAAUACCAUACAAGCCAAAAGCUUCCAUGAGCAGCAACUUGAUAAUGCCUUGCAGACCAGAGACAGAGUUGCAGAGAGCAGAGCUUGUUCUAAUUUAGGUAUCAUCUAUCAUCAGUUGGGUGAAUAUGAGGCAUCACUAAAGCUUCAUAAUAACAAUUUGCGCAUUGCCAAAGCUCUGGGUGACAAAGCUGGACAGGGCAGAGCUUAUGGUAAUAUUGGUAAUGCAUAUAGUGCUCUAUGUCAGCAUGAAUUAGCAGUUAAGUACCACAAACUGGAACUUACAAUCGCAUCAGAAGUAAAUGAUCGCCACUCAGAAGGAUCUACAAAUGGCAAUCUUGCAGUUGCCUACCAAGCUCUUGGUUUGUAUGAAAAUGCAUUACAGCAUUACCUCUCUCACCUGAAUAUCGCCAGAGAACUUAAAGAUUCAUCAAGUGAAGCCAGGGCACUCAGUAAUCUUGGUAACUUUCAUUGUGCACGAGGUGAUUUCAGAAGUGCAGUAUCUUUUUAUGAGCAAAACUUGAGCCUUUCACAGGAGCUCCAUGAUAUGGAAGGUGAGAGCAAAGCUUGUUUUAGUCUUGGGUAUGCUCAUUAUUCAUUGUGUAAUUAUGAGGAAGCUGUUCGUUACUAUGAACAAGAUUUGUCACUUGCUAGAGAGAUGAGAAACAGAUUGUCAUUAGCAAGGGCUUAUUGCAAUUUAGGUCUUGCUCAUAAGUCUCUUAAACAUUUUGAUGACUCCUUAGAAUGUCAAAAGAAAUGUUUAGGUUUGAUGGAUGCUUUAAGAAACAGUCCUGGCAAAUUCCGUGCAUUGGGGAAUAUUGGUGAUCUCCUGCUAAAGACUGGAGAUACUGAAGAGGCCAUAAAGAUCUAUCAACAACAGUUGCAACUUGCCAAACACUGCCAAGACCAAGAUCUACUUGCUACUGCUUAUGGCUCGUUAGGUGUUGCUCAUCGUAUGUUGGGACAGUAUGACAAGGCUCUUGCCUUCCACACACAAGAACUCAACAUCAGACAAGAGAACAAUAACAUGAAAGGAGAGUGUCGAGCUCAUGGUAAUAUGGGCAAUGUGCAUAUGUCCCUAGGAAAUUACUUGAGUGCUUUCAAAUGCUAUGAGGAACAACUGGAGCGAAGUCGUGAUCUCCAUGACAGUGAAUUAGAAGGACAAGCCUGUGGCAACCUUGGCAUCACAAAAAUGAAUAUGGGACAUUUCGAGGAAUCUAUUGGUUUGUUUGAACAGCAGUUGGCAAUGUUGGAACAAUUAUAUGGAGAAAUACCAAUGAGGGACAAAGGGAAAGCCUUUGGAAACCUUGGUGAUUGUUAUGAGGCACUUGGAGACUAUGAAGAGGCCAUCAAAUGUCAUGAGCAGUUUCUGGCUCUAGCUCAACAGUCAUGUAACCUUCAUGAACAGGACAGAGCUUAUCGUGGUCUUGGAAAUGCACACAGAGCUAUUGGCAAUUUACAGCAAGCUUUGGUUUGUUUUGAAAAGAGACUUGUUGUUUCACAUGAACUUAACAGCCUUGUUGCUAAGGCCUCAGCAUAUGGUGAACUUGGUUGUCUGCACAGUCUACUUGGGAAUUUUGAACAGGCAAUCUCAUGUUUAGAACAUCAACUAAGUAUAUCCAGAGACAUGGGAGAUGAACAGUGUGAGGGAGAUGCUGCAUGUGGGCUAGGUGGAGUGUACCAGCAAAUGGGGGAGUAUGAAGCAGCUCUCAAAUACCACCAGAUGGACUUGCAAAUUGCAGAGGCUGGCAACAAGACAGCCUGUCAAUGUCGGGCCUAUGGGAAUCUGGGAUUGUCCUAUGAGUCCCUUGGAAGGUACGAAGAGGCAGUUAAGCACCAAGAACAGCAUCUUAGUAUUGCAGCACAAAUGAAUGACCGAGUUGCAAAAACUCUAGCAUACAGCAGUUUAGGUCGAGUACACCAUGCACUAGGGCAUCAUAUUAAAGCUGUUCAGUACCUGGAGCAAGGCCUGCACAUUGCUGAGCAGUUAGGACGGCGUGAAGAUGAGGCAAAAAUUAGGCACCGACUUGGGCUGUCUCUAUGGGGGGAUGGACGGUUGGAAGAGUGUCAAGUCCAGCUGUAUAAAGCAGCUGACUUAUUUGAGACAAUCCGACGAGAAUCUCAGUGCAGCAGUGACUACAAACUGUCAUUGUUUGACCUCCAAUCCGCAUGCUACCAAACACUUCAGAGAGUGUUGGUUGAUCUUAGUCGUCCUGAAGAAGCACUUGCUGUGGCUGAAAGGGCAUGCACCCGUGCCUUCAUUGAUUUGCUACUUGAGAGGCAAGCAGGUUCUGCAGGCUUGUUUAAUGGAACAACUAUGGACUUGUCUCCUAUUACCAUAGACCAGAUCAACACAACUGUUAGUAAGCAGCAUGGAGUGGUUUUGUACUUCUCCAUUGCUGCUGGAUUUCUUUACAGCUGGCUUCUCACACCUAAAAAUGGUUUGAUCAAGUUCGAAAAGGUGGCACUAAGUGAGCUGGAAGCAGAUAUGGAGCCCUCAGCAGGUGACAGCCAGAGUGUUUUGAGCUUUACAACAGCCUCCAUAUUAGAAAACUGUGUAGGACAGAUGCGAGAAGCCAUUGGGGUUGACAGUCACAUACAGCCUGAUAGCAUCAGCAUAAGAGGUGCAAGACAUAGCAUAGAGAACCAGAGUGGAUCAGAAAGUGAGAAUGAUGAUGUAUUCCAGCUUCAGUUGGAGGAAAUUGGUGAUCGUCUUAUUGCUGAAAAUGAUCGCACAGGAUUCCUACGAAUGGUUAACAGAGGCCAUUCUUUCAAUACAUCAACAUACAGUGUCAACAGUAUACUUAGCCUUUCCAGUGGUGCUGGUGGAACUGUCAACACAAACUUCUCAUCUUACAGAGGGAAUGCAAGACACAUUAAUGGAGGUCGUUCUCCUCUCUCUGCCUUGUAUAAUUUCCUUUUGGGACCAAUGGAAGAAGCACUGGCAAAUUUAAGCCAAAACUUUUCAGAUCCUAUUGAUCUUAUUCUUGUGCUUCAAGGUGAUUUAUACCUGAUACCAUUUCUUAUGUUGCGGAAGGAACAAGCUGAAGAUUAUUUAUUUGAACGCUAUAAUUUGAUAAUUGUUCCAUCUAUCAGUGCCCUUUCCAACACACAAAAACUUGACCGCCAGGGGCGACCUAUGAUAGAUUCAUCAGGUGCUUUAGUUGUUGGCAAUCCAAGACUAAGUUCAACCAUAAGUCAGCAUUGGCAUCUUCAUGAGAUCCCAGGAGCAGAGUAUGAGUCUAGGAUUGUUGGAGAGUUGUUGUCAUGUCGUCCACUCAUUGGGGUAGAGGCUACAAAGGGCGCCAUUUUGCAUCAGAUAGAGCAAGUUGAGGUGAUCCACUUUGCCACUCACAUCUCAUGGAAGCUUUCAUCUAUAGUACUGUCGCCUACAGAAUUGGUUUCAUCAGGAGGCAGGUAUCCAACAAUCAAGUCUCAAGAAAAUAGUGGUGGUGAAUUUGACUCAUUAGAAGGUCCUCCAUUGUCAGAAUACCUACUUACAGCAGCAGACAUUCUGAAUCUAAAACUCCAUGCAAAACUAGUUGUGUUAAACUCUGGCUAUACUGAUGAUAGAGCAGGUCGUGUUAACACUGAUGGUGUGAUUGGCCUGACCCGGGCCUUACUAUCAGCAGGAGCCCAAUGUGUGUUAUUUUCAUUAUGGCCAGUACCUGACCAGGCUUCAAAGUUAUUGAUGCGCAUUUUCUACACAGCAUUAGAAGACAAUCAGAGAGUAACUCAGGCUCUUGCUAAAGCUGUGAAAACGGUACAGUGCACAAAACAGUUCUCUCACCCCUCAAACUGGGGUGGCUGGGUGUUGGUAGGUAGUGAUGUGUGUCUCAGUAGCAAGAUGGCAUUGAUGGGACAUGCUGUGUGUGAGAUUCUGCAGUCUCCAACCCAGUGUCGGGAAGCAAUGAGGGUUCUCUUGCACCUGAUUGAAAAGUCAAUUCAGCGAAUAAUGCAUGGCACAAAGAAUUCAAUGUACACUACAUAUCAGAGCAUAGAGAACAAAGUUGGGGGAGUCCAUGGAUGGAAAGAUCUACUUCAAGCAGUUGGUUUUCGUUUUGAGCCAGCAGGAAAUGGAUUACCACCAGCUGUUUUCUUUCCGCAGUCAGAUACUGGAGACCGACUAGCACAGGCCAGUGCCAACCUCCAAGCACUGCUAGGUCUCCCCCCUAGCUCCCUCACUGCCCUCUCCAAGUUCAUCACCAACAGCCAGGUUGGGGAAGCUCUCAUCACUGUUGUCUGGACUUGGUGGAUGUGGGCCUGGAUGAUGUUACACUACGUUUGAGCAAGCAAGCAGUCCGAAGACACCUACAGUUUGCAUUACAAGCUCUUGUUGCAGUAUUUGAUGCUCAGGAGGCUCAACCAGAGUAUUCACUGGAUACAUCCAGCAGCCUUGAGAGUCUUUCAUCAUCACCUAGUGGGUCCAGUGCCUCUGUCUUUUCUACCCCGCCACUUUCCCCGUAUGGUCGAAGAUG